rnacentral:rRNA from 1 species
CCUACGGGAGGCUGCAGUCGAGAAUCAUUCACAAUGGGGGAAACCCUGAUGGUGCGACGCCGCGUGGGGGAAUGAAGGUCUUCGGAUUGUAAACCCCUGUCAUGUGGGAGCAAAUUAAAAAGAUAGUACCACAAGAGGAAGCGACGGCUAACUCUGUGCCAGCAGCCGCGGUAAUACAGAGGUCUCAAGCGUUGUUCGGAAUCACUGGGCGUAAAGCGUGCGUAGGCUGUUUCGUAAGUCGUGUGUGAAAGGCGCGGGCUCAACCCGCGGACGGCACAUGAUACUGGGAGACUAGAGUAAUGGAGGGGGAACCGGAAUUCUCGGUGGAGCAGGGAAAGGCGUAGAUAUCGAGGGGAACAGGUGGGGCGAAGGCGGGUUCCUGGACAUUAACUGACGCUGAGGCACGAAGGCCAGGGGAGCGAAAGGGAUUAGAUACCCGUGUAGUC